rnacentral:lncRNA from 1 species
ACCUAAGUGGUUCAGAUCUUGCAGGCCAAGUUCCGUCGGAAAUCUCUCACCUCUCCAAAAUGGUUUCUCUUGAUCUCUCUUGGAACGACUAUGUGAGUGUAGAACCAAUUUCUUUUGACAAGCUUUCUUUUGACAAGCUUGUUCGAAACCUAACCAAGCUUAGAGAACUCGAUUUGAGUGGGGUAAACAUGUCACUAGUUGUUCCUGAUUCCUUGAUGAAUCUGUCUAUUUCUCUGUCAUCGCUCAAACUCAAUUACUGUAGAUUGCAAGGAAAACUCCCAUCCUCAAUGGGGAAAUUUAAGCACCUACAGUACUUGCAUCUUGGAUGGAACAAUCUUACUGGUCCAAUUCCAUAUGAUUUUGAUGAGUUGGUUUCAUUUGAUCUCUCUUGGAACAACUAUUUGAAUCUAGAACCAAUUUCAUUUGACAAGCUUGUUCGAAACCUAACCAAGCUUAGAGAACUCGAUUUGAGUGGGGUAAACAUGUCACUAGUUGUUCC